rnacentral:rRNA from 1 species
GAUUUGUUUUUUAAUUAGAAAAUAGUAUGAAUGGAUACACUAUUAAUUUUAUUAUUAUUUUGAAAAUUUGAAAUUAGUUUAUUAAUGCAAAUUUUAAUAUACUUUUUUAAGACGAUAAGACCCUAAGAAUCUUUAUUUUUUAUAAAAAAAUUUAUAUAAAUUUUAGAAUAAAAAUUUAAUUGGGGAAAUGGUUAAUAUUAUUAUUAUUUAAAAUUUUUGAGUAAAUAGGAUCCUUUGAAGAUACACUGAAAAAGAUACUCUAGGGAUAACAGCAUAAUAUUUAUUCAAGUUCUUAUUUAGAUAAAUGA